UUGCGCGGAAAAUUACCGGGGCUAAGCUAUACACCGAAAUUGCGGAUUUACAUUUGAAAGACAAUGUAAGUGGUAGAGGAGCAUUCUGUAGUAGGAAGAAGCAUGACCGUAAGGACAUGUGGACGAAGCAGAAGAGAGAAUGCUGGAAUAAGUAGCGAGAGGAUGGUGAGAAUCCAUCCCGUCGAAAAUCUAAGGUUUCCCAGGGAAGGUUCGUCCGCCUGGGGUAAGUCGGGACCUAAGGAGAGGCCGAAAGGCGUAUCUGAUGGAUAGCAGGUUGAAAUUCCUGCACUACGAAUAUACUUAAAAGAUUCAAGGGACGCAGAAGUGGAAGAUAACCAAGUAAGAGGAAAAGCUUGGCUCGCAAGAGGGAGUGAAAAUUAAAAGUAACGAAGUAUCAAGAAGCACGCUGACGAGAAAAGCUUGAAGAUAUUGUAUAUAAGUACCCGUACCGCAAACCGACACAGGUAGAUGAGGAGAGGAUCCUAAGACGAGCGGGAGAAGCAUUGUUAAGGAACUCGGCAAACUAACCCCGUAACUUCGGAAUAAGGGGUGCUGAUGUAACAGUCAGUCGCAGAGAAAAGGCCCAAGCAACUGUUUAACAAAAACACAGGUUUCUGCUAAAUCGAAAGAUGAAGUAUAGGAGCUGACGCCUGCCC
rnacentral:ncRNA from 1 species